rnacentral:rRNA from 1 species
AGUGAACGCUGGCGGUAGGCCUAACACAUGCAAGUCGAACGGCAGCACAGGAGAGCUUGCUCUCUGGGUGGCGAGUGGCGGACGGGUGAGGAAUACAUCGGAAUCUAUUCUGUCGUGGGGGAUAACGUAGGGAAACUUACGCUAAUACCGCAUACGACCUACGGGUGAAAGCAGGGGACCUUCGGGCCUUGCGCGAUUGAAUGAGCCGCUGUCGGAUUAGCUAGUUGGCGGGGUAAAGGCCCACCAAGGCGACGAUCCGUAGCUGGUCUGAGAGGAUGAUCAGCCACACUGGAACUGAGACACGGUCCAGACUCCUACGGGAGGCAGCAGUGGGGAAUAUUGGACAAUGGGCGCAAGCCUGAUCCAGCCAUACCGCGUGGGUGAAGAAGGCCUUCGGGUUGUAAAGCCCUUUUGUUGGGAAAGAAAUCCAGCUGGCUAAUAUCCAGUUGGGAUGACGGUACCCAAAGAAUAAGCACCGGCUAACUUCGUGCCAGCCGCCGCUGUAA